GCUGGUGGUUGUGUUCUUUUAGAGGGUUUGGGUACCUGGCUGCAUGGCCUCUUAGUGCUAUCUGUUUGUGCUGGCAGGGCUGUCCUAGAUGGGUUUUGGUGGAAGUUCCUGGUUUUGCUUGUGUGGGUUUGGCUAUCUUUGGUGUUGACGCUGGGGUAUGCUUGUGGACUGUCACUGGUAUACGCCAGCGUCAUUACUCAUCGGGUGUGUUCCUUUUCUCUUUUAGGGUGGUUUUUUAAAGGGGUUUUUGAUCGAGCCGGUGUUUCGAAUGGCAACCGAUUUCCCCUUCUUUGUUUUUUUUCUCCACCCAAGCUUAUUAGUGUUUCUUGCACGGGUUUGUUGGUUAAUAAUAUUUUGCCGCUUCAAAAAAAAAAUGAUAAAGCGAGCCUCAUAAAAAUUUGUCAAAAAAUUAAAUAAAUAGUUCAAAUGUUG
rnacentral:lncRNA from 1 species